CUCGACUGUAAAUGGGGCACAGACUACUCUACAAAUACUGCACCUUGACUAGCCUGCAUGCAACUCAUUCUCAGCACACCUGCUGGUCUCUCUGAUAUCAGGAAUUACCCUGUAAUAUGUGUAUGUGUUAAAGAAAAUCACACUGGAAUUCUAAGGACUAUUUUGGAGAAUCUUUGGGCUCAUGUAGGAGACUACAUUAGAACAUAG
rnacentral:lncRNA from 12 species